CAGUAGCCGCGGUAAUACAGAGGGUGCGAGCGUUAAUCGGAUUUACUGGGCGUAAAGCGUGCGUAGGCGGCUUCUUAAGUCGGAUGUGAAAUCCCUGAGCUUAACUUAGGAAUUGCAUUCGAUACUGGGAAGCUAGAGUACGGGAGAGGAUGGUAGAAUUCCAGGUGUAGCGGUGAAAUGCGUAGAGAUCUGGAGGAAUACCGAUGGCGAAGGCAGCCAUCUGGCCUAAUACUGACGCUGAGGUACGAAAGCAUGGGGAGCAAACAGGAUUAGAUACCCCAGUAGUCCCUGUCUCUUAUAA
rnacentral:rRNA from 1 species